CCUACGGGAGGCAGCAGUGGGGAAUAUUGCACAAUGGGGGGAACCCUGAUGCAGCGACGCCGCGUGGGUGAGGAAGUACUUCGGUAUGUAAAGCCCUAUCAGCAGGGAAGAAAAUGACGGUACCUGACUAAGAAGCCCCGGCUAACUACGUGCCAGCAGCCGCGGUAAUACGUAGGGGGCAAGCGUUAUCCGGAUUUACUGGGUGUAAAGGGAGCGUAGACGGCGUGCCAAGUCUGAUGUGAAAGGCCGGGGCUCAACCCCGGGACUGCAUUGGAAACUGGCAUGCUGGAGUGCAGGAGGGGCAAGCGGAAUUCCUAGUGUAGCGGUGAAAUGCGUAGAUAUUAGGAGGAACACCGGUGGCGAAGGCGGCUUGCUGGACGGUAACUGACGUUGAGGCUCGAAAGCGUGGGGAGCAAACAGGAUUAGAUACCCGAGUAGUC
rnacentral:rRNA from 1 species